UAUACUAUACUACAGUACGGCUGAUUCCUGAUGUAAUGCACUACUUGCUUGUGAAUUAUUAGAAAGUACAUUACAUAUAAUGUACAAAUAAUGCAAAUAAACCCACAUUAGAAACUAUUUACACAAAAUAAUGGAACCAUUUACAUGGCCCCUGCUUAAAUAAUUAAAAAUGUAAUAAUUGCAAGAAAUUUCAGGAAAAUGUUAGGUAAAGCAUGCCAUUUAUAUAUAAACUUUUUGCAAGUUCCCAUGUGUAAUUACAUACCGAUGUCACAGUAGCAAUCAAUAUUCUUGAAUAUGUGCAAUAUUCUGCCAGAAGAUGGAGCUCUAGGAAUCUUUCCACUCUUGAGUUCAGUUGUUUAAAAUCAAAGCAGACAUACAAUAAACGUGCAUUAACUCUAGGAGGGAACUGAAAGUCUUGGCUCUCAAAGUUAUUGUCUCACAUUAGUGUAGAUGUUGCUCCUGGUAUUCAUUAUAUUUUCUCUACUAAAAGAGAAUGCUGGAGAAGAUGUCAUAAAACCAGUCUUCAGAGAGAAGCAGGUUUUGGAAGGAAAAAAUGUUACAUUGAUCUGCAACUACACUGGAAAUAUUCAGAAUUUACAAUGGUAUCGUCAGUAUCCCGGAUCCAAACCUGAGCACUUAAUUUUAUACUUUGAGACCGACCCCAAAUCAGAGCUCACUCUCCGUCUGACCGCUGCAGCUGAUAAAGCAGCCAAAAGUAUGAAUCUGACGAUCUCUUCUACAGAAGUGAAAGACUCUGCCGUGUACUACUGUGCCCUGGAGCCCACAGUGACAGGAAACACAACUACACUAUUGUCUCAUCAGCUCAUUGGUGAACAUUCCAGUCAGUUCCUGAAUCUGAUCCGUGAAGCCUGUGUGAACUUGACCCUGCCUGGAACCUGUUUUUUCUCUCUCUCUGCUUGAACCCCCAUCAAGAGUCAGUAAGUUUGACUCCCUUUAUCUGCUGCUCUGGAAGCUGGAUUGUCAGUUCAUUGUGAUUCGGGAUUUGGAUUGUGGAAUUAUUGUUUUGGAUUUGGGACUGGAAAAGGAUAAAGGAGAUUGGAUUGUGUUGUCUUCGGAACUGUUUGUUCUCUACUCUAUCACUCCUCAGAACAUCUUCGAGAACAUCCUG